rnacentral:lncRNA from 1 species
GUGCGGAUAUGAAGAAGUUCGAUUGGUGAAGUGUCAUCUCGUCGGAGACGGCGGCGGAUUGCCGAAAAUGUACGAAACGUUCAUAUGCUGCAGACUGGCUGCGCUAUGCUCCUUCAAGGAUUCAGAAAUGCAGCCGAGCGACAUCGGAGCCUGCAUGCCAGAUGUGUCCAUCAGGGAAGAGGAUUCAUCAGAUUAUUAGUGUUCAUAUCGGGGACAAUAAAGUGUUCUUCCAUA